rnacentral:lncRNA from 1 species
CCUCAAUCUGGGUAGGCACAGUCUAAUAAACUGCCAGCCCAGCCAGAAUAUAAGCAGGUAGAAGAAUGUGGAAAGACUAGACUGGCUUAGUCUUCUGGCAUACAUGCUUCUCCCCUGCUAGAUGCUUCCUGCCCUCAAACAUCGGACUCCAAGCUCUUCAGCUUUGGGACUCAGACUGGCUUCCUUGCUCCUUAGCUUGCAGACGGCCUAUUGUGGGACCUUGUGAUCAUAUCAAGCUGUAGUUCACUUGAAACAAAGGGAUUGUGAUCUUUGUACACAAGACAUAUUUGAACAUAUUUCUUCAACAGAGAUUAACCUCAGACCUACUGUGUGACAUAAGUUAUUGAAAAUGCUGGAUUACGAGGGAGGUGGAUCACGAGGUCAAGAGAUCAAGACCAUCCUGGCCAACAUGAUGAAACCCUGUCUCUACUAAAAUUAGCCAGGCAUGAUGGCGUGCACCUGUAGUCCCUGCUACUUAGGGGGCUGAGGCAGGAGAAUCACUUGAACCUGGGAGGCAGAGGUUGCAGUGAGCCCAUUUCGCACCACUGUACUCCAGCCUGAUGACAGAGCGAGACUCCAUUUCAAAGAAAAAGAAAAAAAAAAGAAAGAAAAUACUGGAUUAAUGUGCGAGGAGUUACUGGCUGAAGUCACACACAAAAAGCAUCUCUUUGUGUACGAUCCAUGAAUUUAAUGAUUUAUCUAUCAUACGUUUUUCUUUUCAAGAAACCGAGUAUAUGCGGAUGUGGUUAUGGAACUACUUCUUCAAAUACAAUGACGCAUGUUUAAAUCUUGCAUUGAUAUUUUACUUUUUUUUAAGUAGGUGUUCUUUCUUUUUCUUUUUCUUUAUUUUAUUAUUUUUUUUUAUUUUACUUUAAGUUCUGGGAUACAUGUACAGAAGCGUGCAGGUGUGUUACAUAGGUACACAUGUGCCAUGGUGGUUUGCUGCAUCUAUCAACCCAUCAUCUAGGUUUUAACACCUGCAUGCAUUAGGUAUUUGUCCUAAUGCCCUCCCUCCCCUUGCCCCCCACCCCCCAACAGGCCCUGGUGUGUGAUGUUCCCCUCCCUGUGUCCAUGUGUUCUUAUUGUUCAACUCCUACUUAUGAGUGAGAACAUGCAGUGUUUGGUUUGCUGUUCCUGUGUUAGUUUGCUGAGGAUGAUGGUUUCCAGCUUCAUCCAUGUCCUGCAAACGACAUGAACUCAUUCUUUUUUAUGGCUACAUAGUAUUCCACAGUGUAUAUGUGCCACAUUUUCUUUAUCCAGUCUAUCAUUGAUAGGCAUUUGGGUUGGUUCCAAGUCUUUGCUAUUGUGAAUAGUGCUGCAAUAAACAUAUGUGUGCAUGUGUCUGUAUAGUAGAAUAAUUUAUAACCCUUUGGGUAUAUACCCAGUAAUGGAAUUGCUGAGUCAAAUGGAAUUUCUGGUUCUAGAUCCUUGAGGAAUCACCACACUAUCUUCAACAAUGGUUGAACU